rnacentral:rRNA from 1 species
UGGGGAAUUUUGGACAAUGGGGGCAACCCCUGAUCCAGCCAUGCCGCGUGAGUGAAGAAGGCCUUCGGGUUGUAAAGCUCUUUCGGCCGGGAAGAAAUCGCAUCUCCUAAUACGGGGUGUGGAUGACGGUACUGGAAGAAGAAGCACCGGCUAACUACGUGCCAGCAGCCGCGGUAAUACGUAGGGUGCGAGCGUUAAUCGGAAUUACUGGGCGUAAAGCGUGCGCAGGCGGCGCCAUAAGACAGCUGUGAAAUCCCCGGGGCUUAACCUGGGAACUGCGGUUGUGACUGUGGUGCUUGAGUGCGGCAGAGGGGGGUUGGAAUUCCGACGUGUAGCAGUGAAAUGCGUAGAGAUGUGGAGGAACACCGAUGGCGAAGGCAGCCCCCGUGGGUCGACACUGAC